rnacentral:lncRNA from 1 species
UAAAGAUGUCAUGCCACAUUUUUAUACUCGGAAUUAAUAAAAAAAUAUAAAGUGUAGAAAUUUAAAAUGAAGAUGACCGUGGCAUGUCACAUCAAUUAUGUAAAGAAACAGAUGCGAAAAAAAUCACAUAUAUAUAUUUAAAAUCGAAAGACCGACUCACUAAUAUGUCGCAGGGUCAUAGCCGCCCAACCUAUUUUGCCUGCGGUACUCAUCUGGGUGCUCCUCUCCUAUAUGGGAAUU